GCCUGGCUGGCUUAGUGGAAAAAGCAAGUGAAUCUUGAUCUCAGGGUUGUGAGUUCAAGCCUCAUGUUGGGUA
rnacentral:tRNA from 1 species